CUUCUCUCUCCCAUUUCUCUCAACCUAGCCCCAGCGCUGCUCACCCCAUUCCUCUUCAUCAUCUCAGUUAAAUCCGUUCAACAAUCACCGAUGCACCUCCACACGAACCCAUAUCGAAUUUUCCUCCUGCCCACGAACCAACCUCCAUUUCGUGGAUCCACCUUCGUUGCAAGUCGCCGACACCCACAAAUGAACUCAGAUACGACCAUCAAAAGUAGGGCGGAGCUCUUGAAGAUGUCAGAUUUGAGAAGGGAAAAGGAGCGGAGCGGAAUUUAAAAUGCGCGAGCUCUGCUUCCAGGCCUCCCCGAAACGCUUGCAGAAAGGUAGGUGGUUGGAUGGGAGUGGACGUAGGAGUAGGAAGUGUUACGAGGAGGGGAGGUAGUAGCCUCAUCUGCUGUGUUGCAGUAGUGAAGUGAUUAGACGUCGGUAUGGCAUCUGCUAGCCUAGGGAAUGGUGGAGUUGGCAGUUCAAGUGAUGGAUUUUCGAAUGAAAUGCACUCAACCCUAAAUUCCAGUGGGGGUGGCUGAAGCAGUUGCCGGAUAUGACUUAUGGCAGCCAAGUUUGGGAGUCAAAAUGACCACACUACCCCGUCAAGGGUUCAGAUCUUGCCGUCAGGUGAUAUGAGAGAGGGGGUUUGAUUGCCCAAUUGGUUGUUUCAUCAAUUAAUUGUGUGCAAACAUUUAUGUGUAAUUUUUUACUUCUUCCACUUAAAUGGUAAGAUCAAAUUAAGCUAAGAACUUUGGGUUUUGUAAAUGUUGUGUAAUUUAAUUAUUCAUAUUAUCAAUUAAUUUUGAGCAAACAUUUCUGGGUAGUUGUUAAUUUCCCUCAAUAUUUGAUAAUAAUUAAAUUAAAGCUGAGAACUUUGUAUUUUGUUCAUUACCUGCCGUAGAUUUUACUUGACAGAGAAAAUGUAUUUUCCUUGAUAUUAUUCAUGUUUUGUUUUCUUUCAGAUCGCAUUGUAAUGGGUCUCUUUGGAAAAACAAUUCUUAAGACCAAUUGUGAGGUUUGUUCUUAUAUCGUACAUGAGUGUUUUUAUAACUCUUUUGCACAAUUGUUAGUAUUUGUAGUUGUGAUUGGUGUUGUCUUGCAUGUUUGUCUUGAAGAAAUAAGACAUUACUUUUGAUAAACCAUAUUGGGAGUGAAGGAAUCUCUUUUUGACCUGGUCAUCUUGGAGUACAUUUCUACUAACUUGGUACACUAUGGAAAUUCAUGAACUCUUUUAAUGCAUUCAAAAUAUUAUUUUGUAUGAUUUUUUACAUACGUUUGUGGAUGAAGGGUUUAGGUGCUCUGAAAAUGCCCACCCUUAUUUUUUUUACACCAAGUGUAUAUGGCAACCCAGGCAUUCCAACUUGCUCAGGGACAUACUUCAUUUAAGGAAAAGCCUGAAAUAAUGUUGUCAAGUGCUAUACUGAAGCUAUCAGAUUGAACAUGAUGUGUGCAACUUAGAUUGCAACCAUGCAAUUGCUUACUUGGAGAUUUAUUCUCUACGAUUCUCUGGUUAGGGUAAGCAUUUUGGUGAGCUUUGAUUUUGUGAGGCAAAGCGCGGGCAGUCCUGCUAGUUAUCUAUUCUAAAACUAGGGAGCAAUUGACUGUUCAUUGGGCUACAGUCAAUUGUUUGCCCCUCGAUUUCACGCUAUUUACAACAAAAGCCAUCAGAUCUGGGCUGGGUUGGGAAGGUAUUUCUUAAAAGUUAGGGGGUAAUUGUGUCCGUGUGUUUGAGCCGAAUUUCACUUUAUUUACAAAAUUGCCACCGCCUUUUCUCUCCCUCUUUCUCUCUCCCGACUCUGUCGAUAACCAUCCAUCAAAUCGCCCAUCCUUUCCUUUUCUCACUCUAUGAGCUCAUUUCCUACAACCCUAGCACUGUUUCUCUCUUAUUUCUCUCAAAUUCGAGACUUCUCUCUCCCAUUUCUCUCAACCUAGCCCCAGCGCUGCUCACCCCAUUCCUCUUCAUCAUCUCAGUUAAAUCCAUUCAACAAUCACCGAUGCACCUCCACACGAACCCAUAUCGAAUUUUCCUCUUGCCCACGAACCAACCUCCAUUUCGUGGAUCCACCUUUGUUGCAAGUCGCCGACACCCACAAAUGAACUCAGAUACGACCAUCAAAAGUAGGGCGGAGCUCUCGAAGAUGUCAGAUUUGAGAAGGGAAAAGGAGCGGAGCGGAAUUUAAAAUGCGCGAGCUCUGCUUCCAGGCCUCCCCAAAACGCUUGCAGAAAGGUAGGUGCUUGGAUGGGAGUGGACGUAGGAGCAGGAAGUGUUACGAGGAGGGGAGGUAGUAGCCUCAUCUGCUGUGUUGCAGUAGUGAAGUGAUUAGACGUCGGUAUGGCAUCUGCUAGCCUAGGGAAUGGUGGAGUUGGCAGUUCAAGUGGGCCUGGAAGUGAUUUUCCUGGAACGGGAAAGGUAAUCGAGAUUAGUCUCUGAUUGUUUGAUCAUCCUAUAUAUAUUUGAUGAAGCUUCAACUAGCUUUUACCAGACAACCCCUCAUUUCUUUAUGUGAUGGAUUUUCGAAUGAAAUGCACUCAACCCUAAAUUCCAGUGGGGGUGGCUGAAGCAGUUGCCGGAUAUGACUUAUGGCAGCCAAGGGAUCACUACAGUUUGGGAGUCAAAAUGACCACACUACCCCGUCAAGGGUUCAGAUCUUGCCGUCAGGUGAUAUGAGAGAGGGGGUUUGAUUGCCCAAUUGGUUGUUUCAUCAAUUAAUUGUGUGCAAACAUUUAUGUGUAAUUUUUUACUUCUUCCACUUAAAAGGUAAGAUCAAAUUAAGCUAAGAACUUUGGGUUUUGUAAAUGUUGUGUAAUUUAAUUAUUCAUAUUAUCAAUUAAUUUUGAGCAAACAUUUCUGGGUAGUUGUUAAUUUCCCUCAAUAUUUGAUAAUAAUUAAAUUAAAGCUGAGAACUUUGUAUUUUGUUCAUUACCUGCCGUAGAUUUUACUUGACAGAGAAAAUGUAUUUUCCUUGAUAUUAUUCAUGUUUUGUUUUCUUUCAGAUCGCAUUGUAAUGGGUCUCUUUGGAAAAACAAUUCUUAAGACCAAUUGUGAGGUUUGUUCUUAUAUCGUACAUGAGUGUUUUUAUAACUCUUUUGCACAAUUGUUAGUAUUUGUAGUUGUGAUUGGUGUUGUCUUGCAUGUUUGUCUUGAAGAAAUAAGACAUUACUUUUGAUAAACCAUAUUGGGAGUGAAGGAAUCUCUUUUUGACCUGGUCAUCUUGGAGUACAUUUCUACUAACUUGGUACACUAUGGAAAUUCAUGAACUCUUUUAAUGCAUUCAAAAUAUUAUUUUGUAUGAUUUUUUACAUACGUUUGUGGAUGAAGGGUUUAGGUGCUCUGAAAAUGCCCACCCUUAUUUUUUUUACACCAAGUGUAUAUGGCAACCCAGGCAUUCCAACUUGCUCAGGUACUUCAAUCUUUUCAGUUUUUGGUAAUUUUUGCCCCUGUUUGGUUGCUGGGAAGGAGAGGGAAAAUAAGGGAAAUCAUCAAAGUUGAUACAUAUCAUUUGUUUUUAGUCACAUUGAUUUUUAUUGUGAGAAAUUAUGUGAUUAUUUUUUUAUAAUUACCUGUGGAAUUGAAUAGUAUUAGCUAAAGCUCUCCCACUGCUCAGUUGCAUCUAUAUUAAGAAAUUGCUGAGUAGAUGGACUACAAAACUCAAAUUCCCUCCUUCUGUAUAUUUGCAGUUGCUUUUCCAUGUAAAUCUUCUCUUGCAAAGAAAUUCAAAGGCCUCUAAUUGUAUUCAUGGACUAUAACUGUAAUUAUACAAUGUACAUUAUUAUUUAAAUAUAAAAAGGUAUAAUUUAUAUAUAGUCAAUUUAGACUCAUUAAAAUAUACAAUCUUUAAAUACAAAAGUAAAUUUGAAAGAAGUUGAAGUAAUAUAUGAAUGCUAUGUGAUUUAUUAUGUUCAAAAUUGAAAUUGGAAUCAUGCUGUUCUUUGAUAUGAAUGAAGUGUGGUGUUCUCCUUCAAAAAGUUGAAAUUAGGUCUCUCCAUCCCCUUAAUUUCAUUUUCUAUUAGCAAAGAACUGGGAUACCAAUGUACUUAUGUGUAUUGUUUCAAUUUCUAUGUUUGCUAAUCUUUUCCCAGGGAAAUACUUCAUUUAAGGAAAAGCCUGAAAUAAUGUUGUCAAGUGCUAUAUUGAAGCUAUCAGAUUGAACAUGAUGUGUGCAACUUAGAUUGCAACCAUGCAAUUGCUUACUUGGAGAUUUAUUCUCUACGAUUCUCUGGUUAGGGUAAGCAUUUUGGUGAGCUUUGAUUUUGUGAGGGUAAGCUCUUAAUCUUUCCUCUAUCGUUUUGUAGUUCAUCCUAUUGUUUUAAUUUAGAGCUAUUUUAAUGCUUUUAUGUUUGUCGUUCCGUGCUGGGAAAUUGGAAAGCUCUGGAAACAAUAUAGUUCUUGAGCUAAUGUGAAGAUUUUGGGUUGAACAUUGUGCUGUGAAGAUAUUGGGUUUAAUAUUUGAUUCCGUUUUUCAUUUUGCACUUACAAAAACAGAGGAUUGUGGUUAAUUAUUGUGAUGUGAAGCUUCUAUUUGAUGACGACUUAAUGAGUAGCGAUGUAAAUUAAACUACGUAUUUUAUGGAUCAAUUCACAUAUCUCUUGCUUUUUCUUUCA